GAUGAACGCUGGCGGCGUGCCUAAUACAAGCAAGUCGAGCGAACGGACGAGAAGCUUGCUUUUCUGAUGUUAGCGGCGGACGGGUGAGUAACACGUGGAUAACCUACCUAUAAGACUGGGAUAACUUCGGGAAACCGGAGCUAAUACCGGAUAAUAUUUUGAACCGCAUGGUUCAAAAGUGAAAGACGGUCUUGCUGUCACUUAUAGAUGGAUCCGCGCUGCAUUAGCUAGUUGGUAAGGUAACGGCUUACCAAGGCAACGAUGCAUAGCCGACCUGAGAGGGUGAUCGGCCACACUGGAACUGAGACACGGUCCAGACUCCUACGGGAGGCAGCAGUAGGGAAUCUUCCGCAAAGGGCGAAAGCCUGACGGAGCAACGCCGCGUGAGUGAUGAAGGUCUUCGGAUCGUAAAACUCUGUUAUUAGGGAAGAACAUAUGUGUAAGUAACUGUGCACAUCUUGACGGUACCUAAUCAGAAAGCCACGGCUAACUACGUG
rnacentral:rRNA from 1 species